UCUUCGGCAAUGGGCGCAAGCCUGACCGAGCGACGCCGCGUGUGCGAAGAAGGCCUUCGGGUUGUAAAGCACUGUCGGGGGGGAGGAAAGCCGCAAGGCCUGACCGACCCCCGGAGGAAGCACGGGCUAAGUUCGUGCCAGCAGCCGCGGUAAGACGAACCGUGCGAACGUUGUUCGGAAUCACUGGGCUUAAAGGGCGCGUAGGCGGGCCGCCGAGUCCGGGGUGAAAGCCCCCAGCUCAACUGGGGAAGUGCCCCGGAGACCGGCGGCCUCGAGGGGGGUAGGGGCGCGCGGAACUUCCGGUGGAGCGGUGAAAUGCGUAGAUAUCGGAAGGAACGCCGGUGGCGAAAGCGGCGCGCUGGACCCCCCCUGACGCUGAGGCGCGAAAGCCAGGGGAGCGAAC
rnacentral:rRNA from 1 species